GGGCGAUUAGCUCAAUUGGCAGAGCAUCCGGUUUACACCCGGAAGGUUGUAAGUUCGAGUCUUACAUCGCCCA
rnacentral:tRNA from 1 species